UACGUAGGGUGCAAGCGUUGAUCGGAAUUACUGGGCGUAAAGCGUGCGCAGGCGGUCUUUUAAGUCAGAUGUGAAAUCCCCGGGCUUAACCUGGGAACUGCGUUUGAAACUGGAAGGCUAGAGUGUGGCAGAGGGGGGUGGAAUUCCACGUGUAGCAGUGAAAUGCGUAGAUAUGUGGAGGAACACCGAUGACGAAGGCAGCCCCCUGGGCUAACACUGACGCUCAUGCACGAAAGCGUGGGGAGCAAACAGG
rnacentral:rRNA from 1 species